rnacentral:rRNA from 1 species
AUUGAACGCUGGCGGCAGGCCUAACACAUGCAAGUCGAACGGUAACAGGAAGAAGCUCGCUUCUUUGCUGACGAGUGGCGGACGGGUGAGUAAUGUCUGGGAAACUGCCUGAUGGAGGGGGAUAACUACUGGAAACGGUAGCUAAUACCGCAUAACGUCGCAAGACCAAAAAGGGGGACCUUCGGGCCUCUUGCCAUCGGAUGUGCCCAGAUGGGAUUAGCUAGUAGGUGGGGUAACGGCUCACCUAGGCGACGAUCCCUAGCUGGUCUGAGAGGAUGACCAGCCACACUGGAACUGAGACACGGUCCAGACUCCUACGGGAGGCAGCAGUGGGGAAUAUUGCACAAUGGGCGCAAGCCUGAUGCAGCCAUGCCGCGUGUAUGAAGAAGGCCUUCGGGUUGUAAAGUACUUUCAGCGGGGAGGAAGGGAGUAAAGUUAAUACCUUUGCUCAUUGACGUUACCCGCAGAAGAAGCACCGGCUAACUCCGUG